UACAGAGGUCUCGAGCGUUAGGCGGAAUCACUGGGCUUAAAGCGUGUGUAGGUGGAUCGUUAAGUACCUUGUGAAAUCCCACGGCUUAACCGUGGAACUGCUUGGUAUACUGGCGGUCUUGAGCCACUUAGGGGCUACCGGAACAAAUGGUGGAGCGGUGAAAUGCGUAGAUAUCAUUUGGAACGCCAAAGGUGAAAACAGACAGCUGGGGAUGUGCUGACGCUGAGACACGAAAGCCAGGGGAGCGAACGGG
rnacentral:rRNA from 1 species